ensembl:lncRNA
GUGGAGGCUAUAUACAGGGGUACCAGUACAGAGUCAAUAUGGAGGCUAUAUACAGGGGGUACCGGUACAGAGUCAAUGUGGAGGCUAUAUACAGGAGGUACUGGUACAGAGUCAAUGUGGAGGCUAUAUACAGGGGUACCAGUACAGAGUCAAUGUGGAGGGUAUAUACAGGGGGUACCGGUACAGAGUCAAUGUGGAGGAUAUAUACAGGGGGUACCGGUACAGAGUCAAUGUGGAGGAUAUAUACAGGGGGUACCGGUACAGAGUCAAUGUGGAGGAUAUAUACAGGGGGUACCGGUACAGAGUCAAUGUGGAGACUAUAUACAGGGGUACUGGUACAGAGUCAAUGUGGAGGUUAUAUACAGGGGUACCAGUACAGAGUCAAUGUGGAGGCUAUAUACAGGGGUACUGGUACAGAGUCAAUGUGGAGGCUAUAUACAGGGGGUACCAGUACAGAGUCAAUGUGGAGGCUAUAUACAGGGGUACUGGUACAGAGUCAAUGUGGAGGCUAUAUACAG